GACGAACGCUGGCGGCGUGCCUAAUACAUGCAAGUCGAGCGGACUGAUUAAGAGCUUGCUCUUAUGACGUUAGCGGCGGACGGGUGAGUAACACGUGGGCAACCUGCCCUGUAGAUCGGGAUAACACCGAGAAAUCGGUGCUAAUACCGGGUAAUAUCUGAGAUCACAUGAUCUUAGGUUAAAAGAUGGCUCCGGCUAUCACUACAGGAUGGGCCCGCGGCGCAUUAGCUAGUUGGUAAGGUAAUGGCUUACCAAGGCGACGAUGCGUAGCCGACCUGAGAGGGUGAGCGGCCACACUGGGAAUGAGACACGGCCCAGACUCCUACGGGAGGCAGCAGUAGGGAAUCUUCCGCAAUGGACGAAAGUCUGACGGAGCAACGCCGCGUGAGUGAUGAAGGGUUUCGGCUCGUAAAGCUCUGUUGUUAGGGAAGAAACAGUACCGAACGAACUAGGUCGGUACCUUGACGGUACCUAACCAGAAAGCCACGGCUAACUACGUG
rnacentral:rRNA from 1 species